AAUCUUUUUUCUGUAGUUUUCUAGCCUUUCUUCUGCUUUCCGCUUUUGUAAUUCUUCAUGACCAAGCCCACCUCUGCCUGUUUAAGUUCAAAACACUGUUGUGAGCAGCUGAGAGACUGUGAACUCCAACUAAUUAUAAGAGAUGGAUAAAUCAAGCAUCAUGGUGCACUGACAAUGGACUGGCGGAUCAGGCAUUCCUUAUUUUUUCUGUUGAAUUGUAGUGUUGCUAUGUGCUUCAUUCAGGCUGCUGCCCUAUGCACCAAAGAAGGAUGGCUUAAUUUGAUAGGCAUAACAUAUUAGUAAUUAAUAAUAAUCAUUAACAAUACACUGCACCCUUCUGUAGCAUCUUUCAUAUGAGAAUCUUCAGACACUUUACAAACAUUCACUAACUAAGCGUCAGUAUGCCCUCACUAUUCACUCAUAGAGUGCAUCAUUUAUUCAUCCCCUAGUGAUUUACUCUGGAUAGAUCCCAGAUGAUAUUUUUGCUUCACUAGGGCUCUGUAUAGAAGGACUUAGUGUCUAUGUGCACAGAUCCCUUUCCAGAAUCAAGCUGUAAAUUUGUGCAGAUUGGAAAUAGGUUCUUUAAUAUUAAAAGUUACUUCCUUGGAAGGAACACCAAAAUCAAAAGGCUAUGCCCUGCUACAGCUAGUAAGAUUCUUGUAAACUAUCAUCCACAUCUGAAAUACCAUUUAGUUAGUAGCAGUACUGUUUCUUUCUCUUCCAAUUCCCCCAUAUCCCUCACCCUUUUUAUUUCAGAGAUUUUAAGGGCUUACUCUCACCUUCUGUGCUUUCUUCUGCUGUGCCAAGGUGGCAGUUAAGAACUACGCUAACAGACAGGAGUUCUUAUAGAGGUAUUCAUUUAAUUCAUCGAGAGAUAGGUGGAACGGUAUUAGUAACAGGUACCCUUUUAAACCCACAUUUUGAAAAAUGGGCAUACAUCUAAAUUCUUAGAAGUUAACAAACUUACCACUCUUGCCAAGGGCCUGCCCACUUUUGUACCCCAUCUUUUGGAGCAAAGCAAAGCCUUUGUUUUCAUUUCCUAAAGAACUUUUCAACACAGUGUCACGUCUCUCUCUUUCCUCUUCUUUUAGGCUCUUUUGUCUAUUUUUCUGGUUAGCUUCUCUCUGCUUUUCUUCUUUUUGAAUAGCUUCUUUCACAUGCCUCACCAUUGGCAAUCCUGGCCUGACAUCCUGUCUAA